UACGAAGGGGGGCUAGCGUUGUUCGGAUUUACUGGGCGUAAAGCGCACGUAGGCGGGUCGUUAAGUCGAGGGUGAAAUCCUGGAGCUCAACUCCAGAACUGCCUUCGAUACUGGCGACCUAGAGUCCGGAAGAGGUGAGUGGAACUCCUAGUGUAGAGGUGGAAUUCGUAGAUAUUAGGAAGAACACCAGUGGCGAAGGCGGCUCACUGGUCCGGUACUGACGCUGAGGUGCGAAAGCGUGGGGAGCAAACAGG
rnacentral:rRNA from 1 species